rnacentral:pre_miRNA from 1 species
AUCACCUGGAGAGCUUGUUAAAAAGCAGAUUCUGAUUUGGAAGUCUGGGGCAAGGCUUGAGAGUCUGCAUUUCCAACAAGCUCCCAGGUGCUGGUGC